AGGUGGUGUCACUACGUAUGUUCCUCUAUUAGCCAAAGAGUAGCUUUGCAACAAGGCAAUUUGGAAUCCUAUGUUUUGAAUCAAGAUGUCUGCAGUUGCAGAUUCACCUAGUUCUGUUGAAUGGUCAUGAGGACUCGAAACGUCAACUCUUUUCUUCUCCGCCGAUGCUGCCAGACCUGCAGAGUUUUACCAGGGCAUAACUUGCUAAAGCAUAUUUUCAGCGAGACCAACCACACAGAAGUGAAGUACAUCUCAAUUCAAACGAUUCAAAGGGAUUUCUACCUGCAGUGACUUCAACAACACGCCAUAUGGAGGAGCAGGGAAUCAUUGACAAGUUAAGCCAUAACUGGCGAGAGAGGGAGAAGACAGGAGGAGUUUGGCCACACCUGAAGGAAGUGACUGAGUUCGAGGAGUGGGCAGCCCAGCAGGCAGGGCUGGAGCAGGGACCGGACCACUGGAGAUGGGGAGACUGGAUUUGGGCCUCCAAAGAGUAAGGAAGCAUGCAUCAGAUAGAAACCUCAGGUCAAAAGGUGCCUCCAUGUUGGAGGCAGCUCAAGAUGUCACUCACUCUCACCUCUCUCGCUUACACCGGGAGGACGGCAAGGACUGAGCCAGAAGAAGAGCCACCCAACUUUAAUGCAAGCCCAAAACAAGAGGAGCGGGGAGAUCACAAAAGAGACAUAUGCAACUGUAGAGACAUCACAACAGAUACCUGCAACCUCCACCCACUCAGAGACAGACACCUUGGUGGGUAUUAGCUCUUGUGCAGGAAGGGUCUCACACUCUGGUGGUCACCGCAUGGACACAUGUCUACAGUAGGAGGAGGCAGGGACAGCUGAGUUCCCUGGCACUUAGAGGACUGCUGGGGAGCAAAUAUCUGCGAGGUUCAUGCCCAAUGAUGGGCCUCUGGAAUCGGCCUUCCAACUGAUGUUAGAGAGUCAGCAAAAGGUGGGGCAAAGUCAGGCAGAGGUUUUGGAGGCCCUCAACAGGGUGGCAAGCGAUGCAAGGGAGUCCGUCCGCCUGCUGGCUAAUGAAGUGGUGUCGACCUAUGCAUGUAUUGAGGUCUCCAUGGGAAGGAUGGUGGAUUCCAUGGAGAUCCUGGUCCAGCAGAUUCUGCCAGAAAAGUGCACAGGCCUGCACUCCACUGCAGUAGCCAUGGAGAGCUUCUGCAGUGGCUACGUGAGAGGAGGACAGGGCCCUUUCCCCUCUAGGAGUCAGGCAGGGGCCAUCAGGCACCCAAAGGGAAGAAGAGCAGCAGCUGGACACCCCAUGGGACGUCCACUCAAGAAUCUCAGAGUUUAUCCAGCUCUUCCAAAUCCACUUUGCCUGUGAUCCCAUCAACCUCGUCUCUGUGACUGCAGAGGGAGCAGCUGGCCCACAGCAAGUUAGCCAAAUGAAGCUGGGGCCCUCCAGGCCUCGGCUCUCCAGAGGACGGCCCAUCAAGAUCAUCCAAGGCCACAGAACCAACUGAUCAGCAGUUGCCUCCAUCUUUACUGUAGAUGUUGGGGGAGCACCUGUAAGAAGUAGCACAGAAAGGGAAAUUGAGAAAUAUUAAAAUCACAACUAUUUG